AACACGUGAUCGCAGCCAGCCCUACUGGAUCGCAGCCAGCCCUACUAGACAGCAGAACUGGUGAGCGGGUGGUCUCUAUGGUUUCCAUGGCGACCAGCCAGUGACACGGCGCGUGGUGAUGUCAUUGGUGGGCGAUGCAGAAGCGGUGCCAGACCCAUGGACGGGUGCGUGGCGCCGUUAAGCAGGAAAAACUGCAACCGUACUACAUACUCGCUGACCAGCUAGAAGAUCAACCUCGCUGAAGCUAGUAACUAUGCGGAAGAAGCCUAUACAUUCCAGAGCAGUUGGAAAGACAGAGCCACCGGUCUUACCAGAAAGAAAGAAUAGCCAUCUAGCGGGAUGCUGCUAGCUAAGGGUUCAACCACGGAGAACAUACCACGGCAGAACAGAUCAUGUUAAGCUUUAGAUCUCCAGAUUGCCCACGUCACUGGGGAGGAGUGCGGGGUCCAUGAGACUGGUUCAAUCUCCUGGGAGUCUUGGAGAGCUUUGAAAAAUUCAUGAGUAGGAGUGAAUAAUAAAAGAAGGUGACAAGCAUGUGAAAAUAACGUCUUGAACAUUCUAAACUCAUCUUGAUGAGACAUUAGGAGGCUUCAAUAACAGGAAGUCACAUGCCUUUGUCAUUAUCAGCUGUUGGGAAAGAGACAGAUGCAUCCAGAUCAAUAUCAGUGUCCAAUAUCAAAGACUUAUUGUCAUAGAGUUGAAUAUUCACGCUAGAAAGAAACGUUCUUCUCAUCUCUCUAUCACAACAUGGGAGCUGCACAACAAGGAUUUUCUUCAAAGA